UUUUUACUCAUUGAUUAAGUUAAUAGAUGGUGGCUGUAAAAACUUUGUAUGCUAGAUUUCAUGUACAAUUCUUCAAUAUUAAUAGAAAUUAGAGGUCUAGCGGGAAUAAAAUUUUAUUUGUUGAUCAAAAUUCUGAGAUGGUCAUAAGUUUGGGGUGUUCCUUGGAUGAUUGUCGUAUGCCAAUGUUACAAUUGUUUUACAGCCUUGAAUAUACUACUAAAAGGCAAAAAGCAUGUUAGGCAGUAAAG
rnacentral:misc_RNA from 1 species